ensembl:lncRNA
AUACACACAUACCCUCCACCCCCUUAAAAUGAUCAUAAAUAAAAUAAUAAUAAAAAAUAUUCAUAAUUAAUAACCAAUCAAACUUUUAUUUCAAACUUAUGGUCGAGAUAGUACAAAACAUAAAAAAGAAUAAAAGACAUACAAAUAUACAAAAUGUAAAUAUUCUGUUGUUCCAUUUGGAGGCGCUGAUGCUAUUCCUGCAUCUAAAUCUGAGGGGUUAGGUUUUUGAAAGCAGAAUACACUAUUGGCAAGUCGCCGUAUGCAAGUACACACACACACUCACACACAUAUAUGUAAAUGAAGGUGUGCGGUGGUUUUCUACCUUCCUGGCUUCAUGCAUGAACGCAAAGCAUUUACAUGAGGUCACCUCCAGCUCUGGCCGACAGUCGAGCACAUCCAGAGGGAACACCUAUUUGCUUUAACACUCACCUUUCUCCCGAGCUGAGGUGCAGACACCUGCACUCAGAGGGAAAUACAAACUGCUGACUUGUGGUACCAUACACAAGCCUCACACAGAGCCGCGACGUGUUUAGCACACAGCCAAUCUUCCGAGGUUCCACAGUUACUGUCAACAACACUUUGUGGCUCAUUAGAGCAGUGGACCAUUGUCAAGCUGACACAGAGCUGUCGAUAAUCAUCAUGAUGAUGGGACAAUUUACACAGCAAGCCCAGGAUCUCAGACUCUAAGGAAAAAGUGGACGACUCCAUUAUGUCUCCCAUUGUGGUGUGGAAUAGUGUUUUUAAAAGCCUUGACAUUGGCGGCUUGUCUGCAACCAUCUUGUUUUUUGGUGCCAAAACUGAGAAUGGAUGUGAGGAUGGAACCCACAAUUCAGCCCAGAACCCCAACAAUCACCAAACUAUCCCUGGAAAAGAUUUAAUCUGCUUAGGUUUCAACCAUUCUAAUUUAAAAUAUAUUGAAUCACGCACUUAAUAGAAGUAUUAAGUAGACUUAUCAAGUACUAAAACAAGUUUGAGUCAUUUUUGAUAAUGUUAUGAGUUUAUAUUCCUCCAAGCAUAUGAGUUCAGGUUAAAGAUCCAUUUUUAUUGUAUUAUGUUUUACUUUAUUGCAUUCCUCAGUGUGCAAUGCUGUGCAAAUGCCAAAAAUCAAAUUUCCAUUUGAAGUUACAGGGGGGGCGCUGGGAAAAGAUGGUUGCCUAAGCAACAGCUCGCCCAUCAACAGGUGACCUUCCGUGGAAAAGGAUAAAAAAUGAAUAGAAAAAUAAAAUUGGCGCAGCCCUUUCUGCCGUCCUGCACCGCUGCCUAUGUUUUUUUUCUGCCGGGAGGCAGACAAAUCCAUACAUUAAUUGUUUUUUUCCCUCCACACUCACCACACAGGUCAAAUGGAUCUAAUAAAUCAUAACUAAAAAGAAUGACUUGGGUGUAUUUUUUUUCCCUGCAGGGGUUUUGUAGUUUUUGUAGGUGUAUGAAGUGGAGAUAAGGAAGUCAUCAGUCUCCCUAUCCCUGAUGCACAACAGCAAGGGUUUUUCUCUUUAGUAUGUCUCGACUGUUGAUAUACAAGAGUAAACCCAGAUCAUUUAAAAUAUACAUCGUCUGCAGUAAUGAUAUAUUUGGAAGACCAUUGAAUUAGAACAAAUACAACCAUAAGAAUCAAAUCAAAUCAUGUAGCUUCUACACGGUUGGUCCCAUAGGUACGGAUGGUGGAAUUCAAAGUUCUGACCUGGAUAUUAUCCCGGUGAGCCAAUCCGAGGAUGGGUUCAGUGGGUUGUGCCUUUGUUGGAGAAGAAAAUUGCUACGGUAUACAGUAUGCUUGUGUUUGUCACAGGGAGAGCCCGUUUUUUCACAACAGGUUAAUGAGCUGUUGAACAUUUGGGCUUUGGAUCUAAUGGGAUAUUUUGACAUAAUUGGAACCCGGUUGUCUCUUUUCCACCGAAUAAAGUGAAGAUGAAAAAGCCUGAAAUUACAUCUAUACAAAUAACAAUGAGCAAAAACACAUAGUAUGAACACAAUAUUAGGUGAUGCAAGUCCUGCCUAGUUAAAACCAAAGACGCGGCUAGUAGCCAUGAGAACACAUUCCAUCGAUCCUCCAUUUUCCAGCUUAUUACGGAGAGAGCCAGAGGCUUUCCAGAGCCAGCUGAGAGAUAUAAUCCCUCCACAAGUAUUGGGUCUCCCCCAGGGUCUCCUACCAGUUGGCCAUGUGGAAAAACCUCUAGUAGGAGGUGCCCAGGAGCCAUCGUGGUUAGAUGCCCGAACCACCUCAUCUGACUCCUUUGGACACUAAGUAGCGCCUCAACUCCAGUUAAUAAUUUUUAAUAAUUCCUCAAGCUCAGGUGUGAAAGAUGCUCUCUAAUUAUGAUAUCACUUAGGAUCAAUGGGUGCUGGGAAAAGGUGGUAUCUGUCAGCUGUGCACUCCUCUCUUAACAAAGCGAGAAACAGCCCCAGCAUGAGUUGACUUUUUCCUGCUGCCAAGAUAAGCUACUCCUUGUCAGGGGCACACAGCAGAAGCCCUUAUCGGACUAAUCAUGACACUACGUGUUGUUUUAUGGCUCUACCUGCAGUCUUCCGCUCUCCCUGCUAAACGGAAAUUGUUGCAAUGACUGGCAGAAACUCAAGGAAACUCAUAGAAAUUGUAAUGUAUGAUCCUUGUUCAGUGAAAUGUAUGUACCACAAGUGCAUCAUUUUAACACUUGUAGUUUGACCUGAAAAAAAGAAUGUGAUCACGGAUGAGGAAUACUUUUUGCAAUAAUCCGAAUGAUCAUCUAUUAUGUUGCUGCCCAAAAAAGCAGUUGUCAACAACUGAACAUUUACUAGAAAAUCCAAUUUAGACCACACAUCCCAGUUUGAAUACUCAGUGCACGGAUGUUUAUAGCAGCAUGAACGUACUGAAUGUAAAGAGAAGAUGAUAUUUAAAGAGACAGCAGGACGAUAAGGACUAUUUGAUUGUUUCAUUGUGCUCAUUGGAUAAAAAAGACCAGCUGAUCUAGAUAGCUGAUGUCCUGAUUGACAGCGUCAAAUGAUGACUAGGAGGAAAUAAAGAGUGAGCACGCCUCAGGAGUGAUUGGCAGAUGUAUGAGAAAUAAACUAAGGGCUUAGAUAUGUAAUAGCAUGAUCCCCCAGUCUGUCUGAACACAGGCUAGAGCUUCAUUUGGCUUGGUUUUGGGAUGGCUUUAGAAGGGCUGUUUGGGUUUAUAUAUACACUCACCUAAAGGAUUAUUACCAUACUAAUACUGUGUUUGACCCCCUUUCGCCAUCAGAACUGCCUUAAUUAUACGUGGCAUUGAUUCAACAAGGUGAUGAAAGCAUUCUUUAGAAAUGUUGGCCCAUAUUGAUAGGAUACCAUAUUGCAGUUGAUGGAGAUUUGUGGGAUGCACAUCCAGGGCACAAAUCUCCCGUUCCACCACAUCCCAAAGAUGCUCUAUUGGGUUGAGAUCUGGGGCCUCAUUAAUAAACGUUGCGUACGCACAAAAGAAGGCAUACGCCGCUCUCUAUGCAAUAAUUGGUAUUUAUAAAGAGCAAACUUGACGGAAAAAUGCGCGGUCCUUCACGCAAGCUCGGACCCAUGCGUAUGCACAAAACGGGUGAAAUGAGAACCGUCGGCAAAUGCAAGAAACACGCAAACGUGUGUGAAAGUGUGUAAAAUUAGACUGUUGUAAAAGAAAUGCCAAUACUGCCUCUCAGAAAUAACACGAACACCCGUUUCGCCGACGUUGGCCCAGACCCUGUCCCCGAUCCCCAAUCAUUGCCGCCAGUCUCUCAUCAAGAGAUGAGCCCCGAUGUCCCCUUUCCCCACCCGUGGCAGACACACUUUGGCGAUGGCGCACUAAAUGCUUUUUUGCAUCCACUUUAAAGUCAGACCAUUUUUUCUUUAUUUUGGCCACAGUCCGAGGUUGUAAGGCUGCAGUGUUGCUCUGCAAUCUUUUGCCACUUAAGUGCCUUUUUGGCAUUAGUAAUGCCCAUACUGUGCCCUCCAAAAAGCAUGUUACUUCUCCUUUCCACCUCGCCAAUAAUAAUUUCGACUCCACACUGAGUGAAGUUACGUUUCUUCGUUUUCCUCUCAGUGUUUGUCAGGAUUUCGCAAUCGAUGAAUAUUAAUUUGUGGGCGUUCCACAGACUAUAUAUAUAAACUAUGGGCGUGACACGAAGCCGCAAAAGCUGCGCUGCAUUUAGAAGUGAUUGUGAUUUAUUAAGGGAAAACUGCGUAGGACGUGCGUGCGCACGGUUUCAUAAGCCUGAAUAUUUCUGUGCGUACACACGUCCUACGUUUCAUCCGUACGCCACUUCUGGCGCAAAUCCGCAAGGUUUUAUAAAUGAGGCCCCUGGUGACUGGGGGCCAUUUUAGUACAGUGAACUCAUUGUCAUGUUCAAGAAACCAAUUUGAAAUGAUUCGAGCUUUGUGACAUGGUGCAUUAUCCUGCUGGAAGUAGCCAUCAGAGGAUGGAAAGGGAUGGACAUGGUCAGAAACAAUGCUAAGGUAGGCCGUGGCAUUUAAACGAUGCCCAAUUGGCACUAAGGGGCCUAAAGUGUGCCAAGAAAACAUCCCACACCAUUACACCACCACCACCAGCCUGCACAAUGGUAACAAGGCAUGAUGGAUCCAUGUUCUCAUUCUGUUUACGCCAAAAUCUGACUCUACCAUCUGAAUGUCUCAACAGAAAUCGAGACUCAUCAGACCAGGCAACAUUUUUCCAGUCUUCAACUGUCCAAUUUUGGUGAGCUCUUGCAAAUUAUAGCCUCUUUCUCCUAUUUGUAGUGGAGAUGAUACAUGGGUUCCAUAGCAGAUAUCUGUAAAUCAACCUAUGUUGUGUACCCCUGCUUGUACAAUAUAGGUGGUUGGUAUUGGGCCGGGACACUGGUUUGGUUGGCAAUAGCAGCUUGUCACACACGGCUCCUCUUUGAGACACCAACGUUUUUGCAUUUGGUUGCUGUUCCUUGAAACACUCAACAAGCCUUUGAGAGAGGGAGUGAGUAUGGAAAUGAGUUUUGAUGUGAGUCAAACUCUGUGUCUUUUUCUUUACUUCCUUAAUGGGGACAGCUGGAAGACGCAUUCUGUAAUUGCUGUCUAACUGUGGCAAGGAGCUUUUCGGUAGUGGCCGCAAUAAUGGGAUUGAGAAUAAAAAUGGACCAAACAAACAAACUGUUUGAAGCCGCUUCCCUCUGAAACACAGCCUGUGAACAUUUGAACUGUAAAGAACAUUUGACCGUGACCUAGUGUAACACAACCAGUUGCAUCCAGCGUACACUACAGGUAUGUAGAUAGAGACCUGACAUCCUCCAUGAGAAAGUCUUGUAAAGCCAAUUUUUAUUUGUACAUCAGCGUACGCAAUUCUUAUUUUCACAUAUCAAAAAAGUCAAAGAGCGUCCGUGACCUAUUUUUAUUAUACUCUUGAAUAAAAGAGGAAAGAAAACAGUUUCUGGACCUUCGCAAAAGAGUGUGGCUGAUCAUGAAUGGUGGGUGAAUAGGGUUUUCUUUUCUUUACAUUUCUGUGUUUCUUCUCCCUUUAGCUGACUACACACACCAAUAUGCAUGCACGCACACACACACACACACACACACACACACACACACACACACACACACACACAAACGGUUUUAUUAUUCCUCACACAUCUCACACAAACUUUGUGAAGCAGGAAAUUAUAUUUCUCACUAGCAGUGUGAUUUAAGUGGGGUUGAUUCUGUGCAUGUCCUUCAAGGUUUAAACUUAUCACAAGGCUGCUGCUUUUCUCUCUGCCUCCUUUAUCUUUGUCAUAUGGGAAACAAUGACUUAGUGAACACACCCACCUCUGCAUAGCAAUUGUAAGUUGAAGGAAGGAGAAGCACCUCUGUAUUCAGAAGUGACACCACUGGUUGUUUCAAACAGCUUAAAAUGACGUACCUCACAAUGUGGCUGAACAUGAUUCUACCUCCCGCUGUAUGUACACGUAGAAUAUCCCCCACCGUAUGUUAUUUGUACAAGCACCUUCAUACAAUCCAUUUUUACAUUUACGGUUAUGACUGGACUAAAGGAAGGUGUCAGGUGACGUGAUAUAAAGAGAGACAGAGUCGGUGUAGCAAGGAGUUUAUGGUGGCUGAUAAAACACAAGACACUCACUAGGAGACUGCGGUUUGUGUCACCUGUCUGACUUGGAACAGACUAUCUAAAUACAUCCAUUUGGUAGGAUAGCAUCGCCUUACAUGUAACCCGUCACGCCCGGAAAUCUCCUGCUUUGUAAAUGCCAACGUGACCUCAUCGCGCCAGCAUGUGGCCGUCAAAGUACACAACAUCUAAGUUCAACAGGAUUCAUCAGCUGCAACCAAUCGCGGCUUGAAAGCUGGUAAAGUACAAAGUCAGCAUUAAGACUUAGAAUAUAUGGUUUUUAAUUAUGUAUGGUAUGAAGCUAAAAUUGCAGGGAAUUAGAAAGGAAUCCUUAGGAAGAAGAUGAAGAAGACUGGACUCAACACUAUCAUUGCUGAGAGAAAUCACAAAUACCCCAUCAUUACACAGCACUGAUGUGAUGACAAAUGUUGCACCGACAGUAACAUGUGCUUCCCAAGCUCUCCUGAUAGAGGGGCUUUCAAGUCGUGACCAGAAAAAACAAAGCCAAAAUGUACACACACACACACACACACACACACACACACACACACACACACACACACACACACACACACACACACACACACACUUUCUAGUAGGAAGGGUUAUUGUUGUUUGUGGAAAAGGUCACCCAUCUGUCCUAAUAUAUGUCCCACUAAGAACAAAUUCAUAGUUCAUCUGCAGGAUAGAUAGAAACUUGGAACUGGGAAUUGUGUGUGGGGGUGUAUGCGUGUGCACGCAUAUAGGACAGGGAAGGAGAGCAUGCCCUCACGUCAGCUUUACGUUGGUAGAAAAGAGGAGCUGACAGGGGAAGAGGACUGUGAUGGCCUUCCAGGACUAAAGUCCCCUGCUCAAUGUCUGCCUGCAAAUGGAUCCCCUGAAGGGUCCUGUCCCUCGCUGCUUCCACCUGUCCCAACUGGAAAACAAAGACUAACUUACCCUUCACACAUUCCUCUGAGCUGCUCUAUCCAAUGAAGAUCAAGUAGACUGGGAGAGAGCCUUCCACCCCCCCCUCCCCCCGGUUUGCUUUGCAGAUUCUGGUGAUAUAGGUAGCUAGCGUGUGAGGCAGCAACGUGCGGUGAGGUUGGUGGCUGGGGAGGAAUCAGAUUCACAAAUGUAUCGUAUAUUCUUUUCUAAUACGGGCAGAUGAAAUCAAGUGUUCUGAUUGGUUGAAAGUGAGUCACAGGGUGUACUGAAUUGAGCCAUAAUGUACUGACACUGAUAUGUACUGAGCGUUCCAGAUCAGUGCAGUGAUCAAAAUAACAAAAUGUUUUCAGACGACGCAAUAAUUAAUGUUGAUCUCUUCGCUAAUCGCUAAUCAUCCUCCAACUUCUGAAGCCAGGCUAACAAACAUGAAGUUCCUAAUGUGGUUUGUCUGUCAGCCUCUCGUACAUUAUUGCAUUAAUUAUUAAAAAUAGUCCUGGUCUUUUAUUUUUGUUGUGUACAGCAGUGUAUCCAUGGUCUUACCUUUACUUGUAAAUUACGUUAAGUCCAUUCGCCUUUCCUUCUGGAAAAACAUCUAUGACUUUGAUGUAAAAGUCCUCUUUUUAUCUUUUAGUUUCAACAGUCUCUUUGACUCAAUAGACAUUAUUGCCAGGGGAGAAAGUCGUCUUUGGUCAGUUGGAUUUCGACUCUGUGUGUUCAGUGUUUAAGGCCUGAUGCGGUGCACUUGACAUUCGCUACUUGACCUUUUUAGCUAGCCCAUGCUAACUAUGCCUUCAGUGUCUAAUGCGUGAAGAAAAACAAGAGGCCUGUAUGCUCACACACGCCCUCUUCAGGGAGGCAGAGGUACUGGCUCAGCCUCACACCCCAGUGAAAAACAGGAAGGAAGGCUAUCUCCCUUCAUUGGUGACAUAUAGAGACAUUAAUUAUAACAUGUUUUAAGAGGGAUUGCGGAAUCCAAGAGGAGGCGCAGCUCGUCGCUGCCUCCUCCCCGUAUUUCAACAGUACCAAAAGUUUAUAAGCCUAACAAGCCACUUCUGAUCAAACAUUCUCAGAGAGUAUGUUCUCCAAGGACAAACUCACACUGGAUCCUUGACACACUUGUAUGAAAAAAGAUCACUGCGCAGCUUUAAAAGAUUACACUAUGUUGCUAUUCUAAAUGCAAAUUAGUAAAAAGGGUUAGGGUUAAGAGAAGAUAUUCUUCUCAAUAUUCUUAGACCUUAGAGUGUAAUUUUGCUCUUGCUUUCAGCUCAUUAUUUGUUCUCUUCCUGAUAAUGUUUUAAACAGUUAAAACGCCAUGAAUUGAAACAAGGCAAAAAAAGAGGGCAACCAAUCUUAAUGGUUGUGUUAAGCGAAACAUCAUGUUUUUCGCUUAAAAUAAAUACUUUUUUUUGUCAUUUAAAUUAGGUUAGAAUAAUGUAGACUUUUGGUCGAUGGGGACAUGUAACAAUAUCGUUUGCCAAUUUAUCGCAGUUUGUGACGGACAAGGUCUCGCUGUUUCACAGCCAGUUCUGUGUGUUGAACACAAACCAACAAGUCAAAAGUUUGCAAAGCUGCAGCAGAGAUACAUGUUCAAGAGAGAAACUCUCCUUCCUGGUUUGAAGGAGAAACACAACUAAUUGGAACUGAGACGUCUAAAAAGUAAAUCUCAAUUAUCUCCUACUGUGUGACAGUAAGUUGUGACAGUUGUUAGUUAUCUGCCUAUCUUUCAUGAAGUUCUAGGUCACUCUGCUGUUUAAUCUACAGGGCAACUUCGAAAGGGCCAAACGGCACACCAUGAAGGUCCUAGUCAAAUACCAUUCAAAUCGGCGGUGAUGGAGCCAGGUCUGUGGCCUUUGUGUGGUGGCUAUUUGGGUGUAAAAUUUGCUACCGGUGUCUAGGGAAUGUCUGUGGUUUAUUUUUUAUGUGGACCUUUACAGUCCCUGAAGAGGAGAAUAAAGCUCUUGCAGAAAGUAGUAACUCAGAGCCACACUGUUCCACUAAGACAAGCAGUGAAACAGCAGUUACGCAGACACAGGUUUUAUUAUUUGUGGCAGUUUAUGUGUACUAAUGUAUCAUAGCAAGGAAAAGAAAUAGAGAGUUGUGUUGGAUAUUUACAGAAUCAGUAUAAGUGCAAUUAGAGAAAAAUCAAUGAAAGGAGAAAGAAAGGCUUCUUUCUGUGUGCACUUCCUCUCCCUUAAUCCUAUAGUCUUCAGUAUGAACUCUUUGAAGCUACUAAUCAUUGAUACAUGAGUGGAAUGCGUAGCAAUCCUCCUUCUGCUACUGAGAGAUGGAAAUGUGCGACCUGGGAAUGGCAAGGGCACAUUCAAUCUCAUACUGCUAUUGUCCUUCAUCUUUUGAUCCUUUCUUAAAACAGACAGUGUGCUGGGUCUUUAUAGUAACUGCCAAUAGAGAUUGGUGGGAUGUCCAAAUGUGUUUCAGACUCUCUCAGAACAUUUACAGUUCAUGAAUAGUUUGCACAUUGACUAUUGAUGGUUCCACCUAAGCUGUUGACAUCAUAGACCUGUCCAAUGUUCAGUCAGUCAUGAGUCAUCUUCAAAGCCACUUAUCCUUCAUACGAGGCCGCGGGAGGGCUGGAGUCAAUCAAUCAUUCACACUCACAUCCACACACCUACGGGAAAUUUAGAGUCACCAAUCAACCUAAUCCCAAGAGCAUGUCUUUGGACUGUGGGAGGAAGCCUGACAGAACCCACGCAGACACGGUGGCGGUGAACCCAGGACCUUCUUGCUGUGAAGUGACACCUCCAUGCCGUCCAUCUAUACUUUGUGACGUGUUGGUUAUUUCUGAGUGUAGAUCAGCCAUAAAUUUUUUCUGAUUUAGUAAUAGUCGAGAAAAAUCCUUGAGGUUUAACUCUGUCAGAGCUGUGCUUUGGGAUGGAGCCACUACACAAAUAGAAAACUUCGUCAUGGAUCGAGGUUAUGUGUGGCACCCUGCUGUAUAGCAGGUAGGAAUCUCCUUUAUCUUAUUGAAAACAGAAAGCUAAGAUUCUCACAGAUAAGGUUACAAUGGCAGAGAGCUGUGGUCUCGGAUGAAGCUUGUACUGUAAUCAUCCGUUAUGGAAAGGAUUCAGCUCUAAGCUUCCUGCAACUCCCUCCACGACCAUCCCAAGGCUCUCGUCCUGCCCCCCCCCUGCCCAGCCCGGUCUGAUUCUCUGGUAAAUGUUUUAUUGCGCUUAAAGGGUUUGAUACCAACGCACAAGGUAGCUCCAUUGUAAACCCAUCUCAGUUUACGCAGACGCUUCACCAAAAAGAAAUAAACGGUCCGUGAGGCAAAAAAAGGUUGGGCACCCCUGAUGUAGGGCACUUAAUAGAACGUCACGCAAGUCAGUAAUUCCUAGGGGAUUGAAAGAUGAAUAAACAUGAAAUAAUAAUAAAGAAAAAUAACUCUUAACUGCUCCCAUAUGACAAGUUCAAAAUAUUUUAAAAGACUAAUUGAUUCACUCCCACGUUAAUGAUAACUUGAUCUUAGCCUCUCUACUGGCAAAACAUAGAAAGUUGAAAUGUUUCAACUUUGGAAAAUGAGGCAAAUUAUCUGCUCUGUAUUGAGUAAAAAUUGAGAAAGCAUUUGUGGAGAACACCCUAUGCUGUAGAUUGGUAGAGGAGAGACUUGUGUGUAUCAUGAAAGGACAAGUAACACAACCGGGGUGAUAAAUGGUGAGUAAGUGAUGCUAAAAAUACAAUUUCCAUUCCUUGUUGGAAAGCCACUUACAUCUUCAGUGGUGAACAAGUACUUUCAUCCUUACUUAUGGAGCAGAGAUAAAAGAGAAAAUCAAUUAGGUGCCUUAUUGAUUGGACACUUCCCUGUGUUUUAAAGGUUCCAGAUGAUGCCUUCGACUCUUUAAUUGAAACGUUUGCAGUGCGUUUAGCGCAGGUCCUCUGGCAGCCGUUGUUCAGAGCCUGCUUUGCAUUUUCUCUCUGCGUAUUGACGUCGUGUCACCCCACAGCGGCACGUUGAAUGCUAAGAGGAUUAAGAUGUUGCAGUGGGGAGGAGAGGAGAGGCACACCUAUUGCACUCAUCCUGUGUUACCUGGCUGUGCUUGUAGGGUGUCAGUAUACAGCUGCGAUUAGACACGUCUACAGUACCGGCUGAAUGAAAGAAUACAAAGCCAGCUACUCGGCCCGCAUUCAAGUCAUGGACGGAAACUUCUACAUAUUACCGGUCGGGUGGAGAUUGAUGGGGUUGACCGACAUGACAAUAGCUCCAGCCCAAAGUUCGGCUUGCAGAUAUUAUACAGUCCACCCUCAUUUCUUUUUUUUCUUUUGAUUUGAACUGGUCAUGCUAAGUUUAGUCUAUAUGGUUUCCUCUUUUUUUUCUCAAAACCUGUACUGGAUAUGAACAACAUUCUUAUAAUAAUAGCGUAUCCAAUGACAAUAUGAAAUACUUUGUUCAUAGUGAUUAAUGUUCAGAGAACUAUCCGAUGAAUCUGGAACCCUACAUAGCUUUUCAAGUUUAAUUACAACUUCCAACUUAGGGGUUCAUCAUCAUUGUUUCAUUUGUACACACAGCAAGCAGCUUUUGAAAAGCUGUACAAAAUGAAAAACAACAAUUUUCGCCAUGCCGGCUUGCCUCAUGAAGGCGUAAUAGAAGUCUAAAAGAAUUUUCACAGCUUUAGCAAACUAGUUAGUUAGCUGCCGGAAGAUAGCUAGCUAAAAAGAAUGAAUGUGGGUUCUACUAAAAGAUUUGUUUUUAGCGUUGCCGUCUCCGAUGCAAAAGCCAAAAGAAGACGGCAAUUAUUCAAUGCUAUUUUCUUUCCACCAUGGUCUUUGUUAUUUAAUUAGUAUUAUCACACCACUGUUGAUACUCUAAACUUUAGAGGGAGGUUUAUGCUUGUCCUUUACUUCUCACCUUUGAAUACAACUAUUUUCAGGACUUAAAAGUAGCCCUUGUUUUUUCCCCUAUUGGGAUUCCUAAUGCAGGUGAUGCUUCCUGGUAACAACGUGUGUGUGGUGGAGGUGUUAGUAACUCCUGACCCUAUUAAAUUAAUUAAGGCCCAGCUUAUGAUAAUGGAGGGAUGAAGUUAGAAUAAAUGAGUCUGGUGGAGUCUGGUAGUAGUCCCUCUGAAAGCCACUCGCUGAUGAGGCUGGAGGCUAGGCAGACCGAACAAACGCAUAACUUAUUAAAUUACUGUCGGUCUCCACGGGAUGCUCAAUAAUUGCCCUCCACGUCAUUAAAUUCAGCCUGCUUUUGGCUGCGCUUAACAGGCUUCUUCAGCCAGAAGGAUCCACAGUCAGUGGAUUCAAACAUAGCUAGAAACGCAAAGGAAAAGGUUCUCUGCAGUACAUGGUAUUUGUUGGAUUAAGUCCUGAUGGUUUUCAUUGAGAAAACAGGACUUGAAGUGUCUGAGCACUGUGUAUAUUUUUGUAUGUUAUAUGCCAUGUAUAUAUAUAUAUAUAUAUUAGGGCUGUCAAUUCAAUUCAAGUUCAUUUAAAAAAAUGAACUAAUUAAUCGCACAUCUCGAUUAAUGAAUGUUGAAUGUUGUUGUGACAGUGUUGUUUCUAAUGAAUUUUUGUUUUUCUUCUAACAACCAAAUCUUAAAAGUAAUGAGUAAUCACUUGGGAAAGUGUGUAUUUUAGACACAGUUGUUUAAUUGUUAAUGUUAUAUAAUGUUAUAUAUAUAUAUAUAUAUAUAUAUAUAUAUAUAUACACACACAUACAUAUUUAUAACAAUCUAACCAGUGCACCACUCAGAAGGAGGGCAUUGCUAUGAAUUGUCACAUUACCGUUCUCCACAGCGAGCAGUCUUCCUAGUUCGAUUUGUGUGUGUGAACAGUGGGUGAGAUGAAUCUAAAAGCAUAGUGAGUCAACCUACAGAUCAAGGUGAAACAUUUCUUCUACUAUUGUGAAAGGACUGAUCUUGCUGCCAGUCUCUGUCAGUUAAAUAAUGCAGUGGGGUGGAUGUGUUUCAUGCGGCUGAUUGGUUAAAGUAUUCCUCCAGAUGUGUUCUUCUUUUACCCGUAAUACGUCCUUCAAAUGGGUAUCGAUAAAAUCAGUCAGAAGGUUUAAUUUCUUUAAAUUUUGAUGACAAACAAAAGAACGAACUGAACAACAAGCAUAAUCUCUGUAAUGGUAUGAUGGUAUAAAAGUUUGAAAUCUCCUUAUGUUUGGUUGUUUCCAUGGUUUUAUGUGAAGCAUUUUGAAUUGACUUGUUGAAAUGUGGUUUACAAAGAAAAUUGCCUUGCCUUUCCCUGCCUGCAAUAUUUUAACAUGAGGCCUUCAAAUAAAAUAAACUUAACCAACCAUUAAAGUUACCCAUAAUUCCGGAAUUGAAAAUCAAGAGUUUAUUUAUCUCAGAUUUUUCACUAAACCUGCUUUCUAAAACAGGGCCUCUGUGAUAAGAAUGUUUGCCAGGAUAUUCUUUAAAAACAUUAAUGUUACGGAUUAACAGUGAUUAAAACACCUCUAGCUAAAAGAAAGACUCAACAAUAUAUUAAUCACACAAUAUGUAUAUAUACAGUAUAUCUAAACUGUAUGUAUUUUAGUGGAUGAAUUUAAACUCACCUGGCUCUUCAGUUCAAACUCAGAUUACGGAUCACCAUUUAUUUUCUCACUCGCAUCCCAGGCCGCUGUAAGGUCAAGUAUAAAUUUGCAUCGGCUCACUCUGUUUGCCAUGCAAAGCAGACUCUUUUCUUGUCAUGAUACCAUCUCCAUGUUUGCAGACUCCUAGUUGGAACCUAACAAGGAAACAGCUCUCAAUGUAAAAUGGCUAAAUGUCAAGACAGAGGGAGAAAACUGUGAGAAAGCGGAAAGGGAAUGAGUAAUGGGAUGAUACAGAAAAGUGAGUGGAAUGAUGAAGAAAUGCCAGCAUGAACUAUGACAAUGAAUAGUAAAGAAGUCAGGUGGGAGGGGUGGGGGUGAGGCUCCUUAACUGAUGAGAAGUGACUGGAUGGUCGAUGUUUCCAUCCCAAUAAACAAAUUAAGAAAGUCUCAGAGAGAGUUGGUAAUGAGGACUCUCCUGUAAACAAUGAAACCCUUUAUGAAUUUGAUCCGUGACAUACGCAGAGGGGAUACAGACACAUUCGGGUAAUUAGCAUAGCUAAUUAGCUGCAAUGCAACAAUAAUUAAUUUAAAAGUGAUAUUUAAAUUAAUUAUUGAUUGGAUUAAUUAAUUCAGAGGGGCAAGACGGGGGAGUGGGGGUAAUUAAGAUAAAUGUUAAAUGUGUUUGUAAUUAGGUUAGGAUUGGAGCAGGGUAAGGAGGAUGAUGAUGAUGAUGAUAAUGAUGUAAAGACAGGAUGCCAGUGAUGAGGAUGUCAUGAAGCUGAAUCAGAAUCAGAAUUAGCUUUAUGUUUACAGAUACAUGGAAUUUGUCUCCGGUUACACGUUGCUCUCAAUCGUACAUCGAUGUACAAAUAAACAACAGAACUAAAAAAUAUGAAAAAAUACAUUAAAAGACACAAACAAAAUGGAACACAAAAACUAAGCAUAAAUAUUUACUGGUAUGUACAAUAUAAAUAUGAAGGCGGUAGUAAUCCAAUCAUCCACACGCUGCGAGCAGAACAAGAUGGAAGACGAUGAAUCGAUAGUCAGAGGAAGAAAGAGAGGGGGGUGGCGGGGGGUAUUCAGAAAGAUUAUUUGGAGACUCCUUAUCCAUCAGCUGUGGACGGCGCAAUGUUCUUACUAAUGCCUAUUGAUCGCUCUCACCCCUCUGCACAGUGUUGCUGCACCUACUCCUGAUCGGAGCCCUGAAUCACCGGUUAACUCUGGACUUAACUGCUGGAUGGAGACAAACCAAUACUUACAAUGAGAGGAGACAGCCUUCUGCCCUUCUCUCUACAUCAAGGACUCAACAAAUCCGAAGAGUCUGAGCCCAAUUAUAAGCUUAGCUGAAAAUUUGAAAUAACACAAAGGACCACUUCGCCGGACCAAAAGGCAGUGUUUUUCCCUUUAGUCCACACGAAACAAGUAAUAAUGGCUCCAUUGGAGGCAGCAGAAACAAUCAGCUGUGAACGUUCAAAUUAGCAGCUUCCUCUUUCCUCAUCUGGCAUUCAAUGUAAUGUUUCAACGAGUUUUUGGUUAAAUGCCUUGGUUUAAUGUAUUCUUUUAAAGCUUUAAAUGGCAAAUAUGUCCAACAUAUGAUUUCAUACACCUCAAUGGAGAGGUUUUAUGUGCGGCCAACUGGUUUUUAUCCUGCCCGGAUGGACAUGCAGUGUUCUUGGAGACCAUGAAAGUGAAAAGGAGAAAGAAGCCAGCUUCACCUCAAAAAAUCUGUUGACACGCCAAAUGACAAUUGGAUGAAGUCAGAGAAUGGAAGAGAGAGAGGGUGAUCGCGGCAGCUGGGAAUAGGGAAUAGAUAUGCAAGGUAACUCAAUUAAGGAGGCAAUUUCCACCCUCCACUCGUGCCCUGAAAGAACUAGAGCAAGUGAAGCCAUUUAAAAUGGUGUCAGAGGACAAGUGGAACACAAAAAGCAGACAAAAUUAGUGUGUUUAAAGAGAGAGAACCCGGUAAUACCUCAGAACCCGCAAAUUAUGACAAAUGGAACCACCCGGAUAAAUAUUAGGCAUGUUGUCUUAGAGAGACAAUCCCAACAAGAAGUUUAAAAAGAGGGGGUUGAUAGGAGAGAAAAGUAGUGAUUUGUCACAGCCUGAUAGCAGUUAUUCAUGUUCUCCUGCCUCCCAUCCCAUGGACAUAUUACAUUUCCUUGUAGGUGCAGGUCAUGGAUCCACGAGUACUAGGACAGCAACUAGGUGUGGUUUACAUGAAGAGCCCAUAAUACGACUGGCCGAUUCAUGUAUGCUAACAUGUUAGGAAGACUUGUGGCUGUAAAGGUUGCAGGUAUUGGAACCUAAAAUCACAAAUUUGAGACAGAAAUCCAAUCAAAGUUCUUUAUUAAUUCAGUCAGGGUCAAAACCGGGACAUCAGUCCAACAGGCAAACAAAUCCAGAGGGGCAGGCAGGGAAUCCGUAAACGAGAAUAGGCAGGGCUCAGAACCAGGAUGGCAAUCAGACAGGUGAACAAAUACAAAAAGGGGUAGGCGGAGAGUUCGUGGUCAAAAAGGCAGACGAAGUCAGGAAGGGAUUUCAGGUUGAUCAAGAAGCGCUGGAAAACUUGGCAUACACACAAGACAAUCUGGCAGAGGGCAAGUGGAAGUGUGGGGACCUAAAUAGUGAGGGGCUAAUGAGGAAAUGAGCUGCAGGUGGGAAGGGCAUGAGGACCAGGUGAAGAGAAUGAGAUGAUUUCUUGUUGAUGACAGGAUCUGGAAUGACAGUAGAGUUAAUUGACAAGCAAGCAGGCAGGCAGGAGAAAAACUAAUAAAGAUGGAGAAUUUGUGACAAUGGCAUACGUUUCAAUGGCACAGAUAUACGCUCAUAUAAAAGUGGUGACAAGGUGAAGCUGGGAUAUCUACCUAUGAACCACUGGCACCCAUGUCUGGGCGGUAUACCAGUUCAAGUUCAAAUUUCCGUACGGCCAGAAUCUUACAAAAUACCGUAAAAUCACCAUCUUGAGUUUUCAUUUGCUGACCUGAGUAGGAGUGGACUGACCCUUUGGUGGAGCAGAAAAUCUAAGCCUGAAUUUCUUCAGGCUUCAUUCAGUUCUCUGGACCAGAGAAGUUAAGACAUGUAGUUAUUUUAUGUUGCUCUGACCAAUAUCUGACUUUUAGGGUCAAAGCGUUGUAUUCCUACUUCCUCUAAGGUGGAAUUCAAUGCUGACAUGAAUUGUUUUAGACAUUAUUUUGCCAUUUUGUUAUUAUAAUUACCCCCCCCCCCCUCAAAUAAUCACAAAUUCUCAAAGGAAGUUAGUUUUCACUUCAGUAAAAUUCUUUGCGGGUCUUGAUUCCAUGUCUUCAUCGGUGUCUGCCUGCGUAUUUUUACCUCUUAUAUGCUCUGUCUCACACGCACAUUGUAUGUCUUGGGUUCUCCUCUAAAUAAUAAAGCAUCCCAGCUAAAUCUCAGCCGGGGAAUGAGAAUGAGUUUCUCCGUCCUGCCGCACAGAUGCAGCCUUUCAGCAGGUCAGUCUAUUUAUGUUCCAAUCCAGCCGGGACUCACUCCCACCAUUACUUUCAUUCAGGAUUAUUGCAGAUGCCCGUUCGUUGUGGCUGGGAUAUAUUUACCUGGCUGGAGCUUCAAAUGGAAUUUCUAACAAUCUGAACGUUCCUCCAUGCUGUGCAGACGUCACUGCAAUCACACACUCUUCUAAAGAGAGACAUAACAGCCUGAGUGCACUGAGAUGCACAGCAGUGAGCUGUCUGUCUCCUCUGUUUGUCCAAAGGCAGGCACACAGCCACUGUGUUGCACACCACAGCCCUGUCUGCAUAUCUAUCCGUUUUUUUACAUAUUGUUUAUUAUAUAGGCAGAACAAUUCAUUGUGUCCAUCUAAAAACUAUCAGUUUGUUUUUUAAUGUUCAAUAAAUACACAAAAGAAAUGAUAGAUGCUGUUUGAAAGUAUAAUUACAUGAUGUAGGUAGCAAGACUUAAGCACCAAACAUACUAGCUCAACCCAUCCUAAACUUGUGUAUGCAGGCAAAGCCCUGUUUGAGGCGGACCGGUAGCCAUGUCAGCUCAUACCGCCAUUCGUUUCCAAAUCAGACUAUGAGCAGUUUGAGAGGGGUCUCGGUGUGGGAAUCCGAUUGGUCCAAUCGCUCGUCCGAGCAGCAUUACACUUUCUGAAGAUUUUAAAUUGGAAUCGGGCUCUGACUCUGCAGCUUGACGUCCAUCUGCAUCCGUAUCGCUCCUCCUCCACCCCUCCCUGCUUCUCUCUCUCCAUCUGUCCACUACUCCCUGUCUGUCCCCCCAUCCCUGUCGCUGUGGGGAGGCUCGUGUUGGCCUUACAGCGUCUGCCUCUCGCCAGCUGACUGACUAACUGAAGCUCCUACUGCUUGAGUGAUGCCACCAUGACAGCACCAUUCUGGACACUGUCUGUCUGUGUGUGUGUGUGUGUGUGUGUGUGUGUGUGUGUGUGUGUGUGUGUGUGUGUGUGUGUGUGUGUGUGUUUGUGUAUGCAGACAUAAAGGGAAGUCAUUUUUUUUUGCAAAGUCAGCACAUAUGAGGCUGGAGCAGCAGAUGACAGAGUCUCCCAGCGUCACUAUAAAGCAUCCUCUGUGAUGGUUUUACAGUGAAGGCAGCAGUUGUCGAGGUGAUUGGUGAUGAAUGUGUAGAAGCUGGAACAGUUUUAGCAGCUGCAGACGAUGGUGUCAGUCGGCAGCAACAACAUGCUGCCGAGGGUCUUUGAUCCACUUUUCAGUCACUGAGAACAGGUAGCCAGACAAAGUGUGAAUUACUUUGUCCCUCUUUACACUCUUUAUUUAUUUUCUAUGCUGUUAAGUGAGAUUAUGUAAUCAUAUUCAGCAAAGAGUAUACAAACACAUCAAAAUCAUUAAGAUCGCUGAUCACUGACAUUUCUAUGAAUAUGAAAAAAUAUAAUUUUAUGUAGUAUAAAGAAAUAAUCCAACCUGAAUAUGUUAUGGUCUUGACCAUUGCAAUGAUCAGAAUUGUUGGUUACUCGUUGAAGUGAAAAACAUUAUUAAUAUGUAAUACUUCCACAACCCUUUCAGUGAAGUAUUUUGUCUGAAUAUAAGAGCUUUUUCAAAAUGUGACACAACAGUGUCGGCUGUUAUCACCUUGCUUCUCCUGUCUCAGAAUGUUGUGCACCAUAUGAUCGGACGUGCAUUGAUGAACCUCGACGUACUUGUGAGCGGGGAUGAGCUGUCAUGAGACACCUUGUAGCUCACCAACUGUCAGAACAAGUCAGAACAAGACAGUACCGCUACCAUCCGUGGGUUUCAAUGUAAGAUCUUCACUGACAGUUUGCAGCGCAGAGAGGCUUCGUGCAGACCUGCUUGUCCCUUAUGGUGCCCAUAGAGGUUUGUCCUCCCCAACACCUAGACGUGACACCACAUUAGAGACUCCACUCUUGUGCUAAUUGAUGCUGCGCUUGUUAAAGCUAACGGGGGAAGCGGCGCUUGGUUUCCGAUUAGACGGUGCUCUCCGGUCCCUGUAGCUCUAUAACACUUGAUGAUUACAUGCUGCUUUCUCCUGCUCUAAUUACCUUCUGAAUGGGACUGCUGUAGGGCACCUUUUUCAUUUUUUUCAUCUCUCUUGCCGCUACAAUGUGUGGGAAACGUUGGGAUGAACGAGACGUUAUUUUUACCCACAAAAGGUAGCAAUUGCCGGUGUGUGUAUACUCUGUAUUUUCAGCAUUUAAAAUGACUCGAGAAUAAGAAGUCCUGGCUGUAAAUCCAGAUGAGAAGGCGGAGUGCUGCCGUGUCAGUGUGGGUGAGCAGGGGAGUGACUGAAAUCACAUUCACGUAGUUAAAUCAGUGAUCGUUGGGUGUCUCUCUCUCUCUGAGCCGACAGUGAUGCAUGUCCGACCGCACCGCUGGCUGCAGCUUGAUUUAGGAGAGUCUCUUCUCGUAGCCACUACAUCUCUCUCUCCCACAGUGGCCUGUACGGUGAUGUAUCUGACAGUUUGCAGACAUGCACUUAUGCUGCCACUUGUGUGUGUGGGAGGGGGUGCGUGUGCGUGCACGUGUUAGUCAGUGUGGAUGUGGACGUGCAGCAGUGCAGAGGUUCACUAGGGGGAGCACUUGCUCUACUGCUCACCUCCUUCACUCCUCUGAUCUCACACACUGAACACUGAAGGCUCCAGAGAUUUCCUGUUAUGACCAAGGUCAGGUUCACUUUUACAACUGGAAUGAGGGGUGGGAGGGGGGUAUUUAUGAAGACCGGAAAUAAUUAAAACUUCAAUUAAAAAGCCCCUGUGGUGUACGGUGUGGCUGACCGCUGUGGUUUACGAGUCGGGUACAUGAACGCGUGUCCUGCUUGGGGAAAGAGUCCAGAUCUAGAUCACUGAGAAACACUCGCCGGAAGUAGGGUUCAUCAAAGGCCACUUUACAAAAAUGGAUCUGCAAGCCAGUAGACUGGCAAAAAGAGCAGAAAAAUAAGGGGAGCCUUACUUCUUCUGCAAAAUUCAAAGUAUCCAUAUUAUCAGGAUUCAGAAUCAGUCAUUUUUUGUCUGUAGUUAUAGUUUUGUAUAACUUGUUUCUCUGUUUGUGACGAACUCAUUACAAAUAACUGUGUGUGACUGUGCCUUUUGAAGCCAUGUGCACUUCCUUCCUUUGUGUAAUACUAAUGAUCUAAAAGAGGAGGCGGAAGAGCAUGCCUUCAUGUUUCCUGCUCCAGUCGCUUGGAACCGUCUAAAUGGAAUUCUUUGAGCCUGAGAGUACACAAUUCAGUUCCACCGAAUGUUUUCCAUUUUGGAGUCGAUUUUGUUUUGUCUUCUCAAUUGUUUUACACAUUUGUAAUGUGUUGUGUUUGUUGGUGUCACUCAUCCUCAGAGUGUGUUUAUGGAAAUGCUCGUACCCUGUUUUUUCUUUACCUCGCGGACCGGUCCACUGGACGAUGACUGGUUCACUCCGGCUCUGAAUCUCACUCUGGCCUGCUGGCGCCCCGCUAGGGGUCGCAUGAGGUCCGCGCAUCAGGGCCCGUCGCCCCAUCCUCUCCAGACGCGCUGCCUGUGUGGCUGGCUGGAGGACAGUUAAUAUCCUUUCAACCACGGGCUGUAAUUAUAACGCGCUGCCUUAAGAAACCGCGCUCGAACCGGGGAUGAUUGUCUACAUACAUAUCGCAGCAUUUGCAUGCAUUACCCCGGUCUGUCCUCAGGCUCUCAAGGGCCCCGGACACCAAGUCCUCCACCAGCGCUCAUCACACAGUGGUUCAUUGGGGGGGCAGGUGUGCGUGCGCGUGCGUGUUGGAGAGGAGUGGGGAGAAUUCUAGCCUUGGCGUCCUCCGUCCCCUCUCCACUUCGGCGUUAUACUGAAAGAGAAGCCACCAGGAGCAAAGCGUUGGAAAGGUAGAGCGAGAUAGAGCUGCAGGGAGGGAGGGGGGGGGGCGUGGACCGGCAACCCGGCUAUCCAAUCAGGAGAGAGCUGUCAGCGUGAUUUACAGCCCACAGGGGCUGAGAUGGGGGC